rnacentral:rRNA from 1 species
GGGACACGUGGUAUCCUGUCUGAAUAUGGGGGGACCAUCCUCCAAGGCUAAAUACUCCUGACUGACCGAUAGUGAACCAGUACCGUGAGGGAAAGGCGAAAAGAACCCCGGCGAGGGGAGUGAAAAAGAACCUGAAACCGUGUACGUACAAGCAGUGGGAGCCUCUUAAUGGGGUGACUGCGUACCUUUUGUAUAAUGGGUCAGCGACUUAUAUUCUGUAGCAAGGUUAACCGAAUAGGGGAGCCGAAGGGAAACCGAGUCUUAACUGGGCGUUAAGUUGCAGGGUAUAGACCCGAAACCCGGUGAUCUAGCCAUGGGCAGGUUGAAGGUUGGGUAACACUAACUGGAGGACCGAACCGACUAAUGUUGAAAAAUUAGCGGAUGACUUGUGGCUGGGGGUGAAAGGCCAAUCAAACCGGGAGAUAGCUGGUUCUCCCCGAAAGCUAUUUAGGUAGCGCCUCGUGAAUUCAUCUCCGGGGGUAGAGCACUGUUUCGGCAAGGGGGUCAUCCCGACUUACCAACCCGAUGCAAACUGCGAAUACCGGAGAAUGUUAUCACGGGAGACACACGGCGGGUGCUAACGUCCGUCGUGAAGAGGGAAACAACCCAGACCGCCAGCUAAGGUCCCAAAGUCAUGGUUAAGUGGGAAACGAUGUGGGAAGGCCCAGACAGCCAGGAUGUUGGCUUAGAAGCAGCCAUCAUUUAAAGAAAGCGUAAUAGCUCACUGGUCGAGUCGGCCUGCGCGGAAGAUGUAACGGGGCUAAACCAUGCACCGAAGCUGCGGCAGCGACACUAUGUGUUGUUGGGUAGGGGAGCGUUCUGUAAGCCUGUGAAGGUGUACUGUGAGGUAUGCUGGAGGUAUCAGAAGUGCGAAUGCUGACAUAAGUAACGAUAAAGCGGGUGAAAAGCCCGCUCGCCGGAAGACCAAGGGUUCCUGUCCAACGUUAAUCGGGGCAGGGUGAGUCGACCCCUAAGGCGAGGCCGAAAGGCGUAGUCGAUGGGAAACAGGUUAAUAUUCCUGUACUUGGUGUUACUGCGAAGGGGGGACGGAGAAGGCUAUGUUGGCCGGGCGACGGUUGUCCCGGUUUAAGCGUGUAGGCUGGUUUUCCAGGCAAAUCCGGAAAAUCAAGGCUGAGGCGUGAUGACGAGGCACUACGGUGCUGAAGCGACAAAUGCCCUGCUUCCAGGAAAAGCCUCUAAGCAUCAGGUAACAUCAAAUCGUACCCCAAACCGACACAGGUGGUCAGGUAGAGAAUACCAAGGCGCUUGAGAGAACUCGGGUGAAGGAACUAGGCAAAAUGGUGCCGUAACUUCGGGAGAAGGCACGCUGAUAUGUAGGUGAAGCGACUUGCUCGUGGAGCUGAAAUCAGUCGAAGAUACCAGCUGGCUGCAACUGUUUAUUAAAAACACAGCACUGUGCAAACACGAAAGUGGACGUAUACGGUGUGACGCCUGCCCGGUGCCGGAAGGUUAAUUGAUGGGGUUAGCGGUAACGCGAAGCUCUUGAUCGAAGCCCCGGUAAACGGCGGCCGUAACUAUAACGGUCCUAAGGUAGCGAAAUUCCUUGUCGGGUAAGUUCCGACCUGCACGAAUGGCGUAAUGAUGGCCAGGCUGUCUCCACCCGAGACUCAGUGAAAUUGAACUCGCUGUGAAGAUGCAGUGUACCCGCGGCAAGACGGAAAGACCCCGUGAACCUUUACUAUAGCUUGACACUGAACAUUGAGCCUUGAUGUGUAGGAUAGGUGGGAGGCUUUGAAGUGUGGACGCCAGUCUGCAUGGAGCCGACCUUGAAAUACCACCCUUUAAUGUUUGAUGUUCUAACGUGGGCCCCUUACCGGGGUUGCGGACAGUGUCUGGUGGGUAGUUUGACUGGGGCGGUCUCCUCCUAAAGAGUAACGGAGGAGCACGAAGGUUGGCUAAUCCUGGUCGGACAUCAGGAGGUUAGUGCAAUGGCAUAAGCCAGCUUGACUGCGAGCGUGACGGCGCGAGCAGGUGCGAAAGCAGGUCAUAGUGAUCCGGUGGUUCUGAAUGGAAGGGCCAUCGCUCAACGGAUAAAAGGUACUCCGGGGAUAACAGGCUGAUACCGCCCAAGAGUUCAUAUCGACGGCGGUGUUUGGCACCUCGAUGUCGGCUCAUCACAUCCUGGGGCUGAAGUAGGUCCCAAGGGUAUGGCUGUUCGCCAUUUAAAGUGGUACGCGAGCUGGGUUUAGAACGUCGUGAGACAGUUCGGUCCCUAUCUGCCG